rnacentral:lncRNA from 1 species
GAGAGAGAGAGAGAGAGAGAGAGAGAGAACUAGGCUACUAUGCUAUUAAUAGCACGAAGUCAUUGGUGCUACCAAGUUUUUGGCCGUUGGAUUAAGAGAUGUGCGGUUAGGAUGAUGUGGGCCCCCUAGGGUUGAGUGGGUGGUUGGUUGAAUAGUAUGAUCUAACGGGUGAAAAUAAUCAAAAUGGUAGAUCUAACGGCGGAAAACUUGGUAGCACUAAGUGCUUCAUGCUAUUAAUAGCAUAGUAGCCGGACUAUAUAUAUAUAUAUAUAUAUAGUUGAGCUGGAAUGCUAUCGAUAGCAAACGGACUCCGUUGCCACCCAUUUGUCUUUGAUGAUGGAGUCUUCAAAUCGAUGAUCGACACCAUUGAAUAUGAUCUAUACCACAUGAACUAUCUAGAAACCAAAUUUCAAAUCUUUUCGACAUCAUUAACCUAAUGAUCAAAGGGCUAAAGGAAGGAAAAUCAACCGAGACCCCGUUAGUAGCGGCGAGCGAGAGCGGAACUUUGGUUUGAAUCAAAAGAAAUCCGAAGCGGUUUCAUUCGAUUUGUUGUGGAUUGGAUGAUGUUGUUGUGGAUUGGAUGAUGGAAAAACCAGUUCGCUAAGUUUGAAAAGUCCAAAGAGCGCAGACUAGGUCAUCUCGCCUGCCCCAGUUGGAUAUUUCAAAAAUUUAUAAUUUUAAUGGUAGAUAUGAGGAGUUUUCUCGUUUAACGUUGUAAAGCUAUCCAAAUCAAUUGAAUUUUGGUUAGAAAAUUCUUUAUACUAUUUAGAACAAGAUCUAUACUCUUGAUCUUGAUUAACACUUGAUGAACAAGAGAACAAUAUC